GCCUGCCCAGUGACCAUGUGUUCAACGGCCGCGGUAUUCUGACCGUGCAAAGGUAGCGUAAUCACUUGUCUUUUAAAUAAAGACUAGUAUGAAUGGCAUCACGAGAGUUCAACUGUCUCCCCCACCCAAUCAGUGAAACUGAUCUCCCCGUGCAGAAGCGGGGAUAAAACCAUAAGACGAGAAGACCCCAUGGAGCUUUAAACUAAAGGCACUAGCUCUUAAUUUACCCCAAGGACAAAACAUUAAACCAGUUAAAGUGACCUGUCGUUUUCGGUUGGGGCGACCACGGAGAAGAACAAAUCCUCCGAGAUGAAAGGGUAAACCCUUAGCCAAGACCCACAAUUCUAAGCAAUAGAACAUCUAACGCACCGAUCCAAUCAAAUUGAUCAACGAACCAAGUUACCCUGGGGAUAACAGCGCAAUCUAUUUUCAGAGUUCAUAUCGACAAAUAGGUUUACGACCUCGAUGUUGGAUCAGGGCCUCCUAGCGGUGCAGCCGCUGCUAAGGGUUCGUUUGUUCAACGAUUAAAGCCCUA
rnacentral:rRNA from 1 species